rnacentral:rRNA from 1 species
GGCGCACGGGUGCGUAAGCGCGUAUGCAACCUACCUUAAUCAGGGGGAUAGCCCGAAGAAAUUCGGAUUAACACCGCAUAAAAUCACAGUAUAGCAUUAUACAAUGAUCAAAUAUUUAUAGGAUUAAGAUGGGCAUGCGUGACAUUAGUUAGUUGGCGAGGUAACGGCUCACCAAGACCACGAUGUCUAGGGGAUCUGAGAGGAUGACCCCCCACACUGGUACUGAGACACGGACCAGACUCCUACGGGAGGCAACAGUAAGGAAUAUUGGUCAAUGGAGGCAACUCUGAACCAGCCAUGCCGCGUGCAGGAAGACAGCCCUCUGGGUCGUAAACUGCUUUUAUUCGGGAAUAAACCUAUCUACGUGUAGAUAGCUGAAUGUACCGAAGGAAUAAGGAUCGGCUAACUCCGUGCCAGCCGCCGCGG